rnacentral:tRNA from 1 species
GGCGACAUAGCUUAGCCCGGUGGAGCGUUUGACUUGUAAUCAAAUGGUCGGGGGUUCAAUUCCCCCUGUCGCCU